UGCCUUUCGGGGAACUCGGAGACAGGUGCUGCAUGGCUGUCGUCAGCUCGUGUCGUGAGAUGUUGGGUUAAGUCCCGCAACGAGCGCAACCCUUGUCUUUAAUUGCCAGCAUUCAGUUGGGCACUUUAAAGAGACUGCCGGUGUUAAGCCGGAGGAAGGUGGGGAUGACGUCAAGUCCUCAUGGCCUUUAUGCCCAGGGCUACACACGUGCUACAAUGGGUGGUACAAAGAGAUGCCAACUCGCGAGAGCGCGCCAAUCUCAGAAAGCCAUCCUCAGUUCGGAUUGGAGUCUGCAACUCGACUCCAUGAAGUUGGAAUCGCUAGUAAUCGCGGAUCAGCACGCCGCGGUGAAUACGUUCCCGGGCCUU
rnacentral:rRNA from 1 species